rnacentral:lncRNA from 1 species
CUAGACUUCAAGAAGGUCCUUGGGCAGAGGUUUUGGUUCUAGAACCUUAUCACAGUUAUGGCACUUGUUAUAAAAGACUCUUAUAGGAUCUGUUAACUAAGAAACAAAUACAGAACUUCCAAGUAUUUAGAAAACCCAUUCUUUAAUCAGUAAAAAAGGGUAGGCUUAUCAUUUGGUCAUUACACAGAGUCAAAAUUUAAAUACCAUUCAAAACCAAAGACUCUGGGAACCACAUCUCUGGGAGAAGGUGUCACACUAUAUUAUUUUUUUUUCUUUCUCUCUCCCUUCCCCCCCAAAACCACAGAGGAAAGGAAAUUGGGGGUUCUUAUAUCCUCUGGAUAAUUAGGUAUUACAAACAGGUGCAUAAACCAUCUAUGAAGUCAAUAGCAAUGGCAUUAGGGAACAGUCAGCUGUAACAAAUCAAAUGCAAAGGUCAGACUCAGGAGCUGGGCUUUCUGAGAGGAAACUUUUACCCAAUAGAGAAGCCUUUCAAAACAAACAGGUAUUUAACUUUCAAACAAAAUAGGUGUGCUUAGUACUAGGGUUUCUCAAAGUGCAGAAGUAUACUGAGUCAUGUAAUUAUUUACAUUGACAAAUCAAAUUUAUAUUGGGAACUGUAAAGAUAUAGUCCUUAACUUCCUUCUGGUGGGGAGCCUUUUUGAAAUAACAAGGAUUCAGUGGAGAGGUCAUGAAUAUAACUAAGCAUACUCCUCAAGACAUUAAAGCUUCAAGGAAACUGUCGUGGACCUACCUAUAUCUAGAAGUUCUUGUUGGAGUUGAAAGGACAAAUGAAAAUACCCUAGGAUGUACCUUAUCUGGAGUCAAAUGAUUUGAACUUAUCAAGAACAAGACGAUAUUGUCAGAGCAUCUCAUUUAUCUAGGAUUUCAACUACAUGUUAACUCUUUUAGGUAUGAUGAGGGAGAGAUACAAAGAAAUGAUCCCAUUAGAGAUACCUCCCCUUAGGGAACACUGACAAUACAGUUGUGUUCUUCUGAUAUGUUUUGGAAGCUCACCUGGGCCUUAUCUUCACUCUGAGAACAACCCAAAUCAUUAAUAAGGUGCAAAGGUCCACCAACCUAAUAAAAUCUACCAGCCUUGGCA